rnacentral:rRNA from 1 species
GGAUUAGAUACCCUGGUAGUCCACGCCGUAAACGAUGUCAACUAGCCGUUGGGCUCAUUAAAGGGCUUAGUGGCGCAGCUAACGCGAUAAGUUGACCGCCUGGGGAGUACGCCGGCAACGGUAAAACUCAAAGGAAUUGACGGGGGCCCGCACAAGCGGUGGAGCAUGUGGUUUAAUUCGAUGCAACGCGAAGAACCUUACCAGCCCUUGACAUCCUCGGAACUUUCUAGAGAUAGAUUGGUGCCUUCGGGAACCGAGAGACAGGUGCUGCAUGGCUGUCGUCAGCUCGUGCCG